rnacentral:ncRNA from 1 species
UAUAUGACAGGAAAACCCUGUGGAGCUUAAGAUGACAACUUAAAUAAAUAUACUUUUUAUUCUCCUAAGGGAUCAAACCCAUAGAAACUUUAAGGUGAAUCUUUGGUUGGGGGUGACCUCGGAGCACAAGAAAACCUCCAAAUGACGUAACUAAGAUUAACCAAUCUAAGUUUUUGUAAUUGACCCAAAUUUGGAUCAACGGAACAAAUUGCCCCAGGGAUAACAGCUCAAUCCUAUUUAAGAGCCCAUAUGGACAAUUAGAGGUUUACAACCUCGAUGCUGAAUCAAGACACCAAAUUAAAGUCCUACGUGAUCUGAGUUCAGACCGGAGAAAUCCAGAUCGGUUUCUAUCUAUA